rnacentral:lncRNA from 1 species
CUGCUGCAGCUGCACAGGUCGAUCAACAAUGUCCAGCAUUGCGCUGCGGUGUCUGCUCCGACGGAUUCCCGGCCCCCUCCUCCUCCUGCCCCGUCGUGUUCCGGCGCCGCCGCCGGCCUCUCGGUCCAUGACCACCCUAUCUCAGGUUCGCUUCACCCGUCCUACCCCAUACGAUCUCGAGGUGUCUUUAAUUUACUUUCUAAUAGUACAGUACAUCAUUGUUUAAAUCUUUGCGAAAUCGUUUUCAGGCCGAAGAAGCUGCUGAUAAGAUGGAGGAGAAAGAAUGUGCUAGAGCUGCAAGGCGUAGCUUGGAUGAGGAGCACACAAGAGGUAUCGAUGACCUGCGAAGAGUUGGCUACGCAGGCGCUGCCGCCCUCGCUGGCUUCACUCUGCUUGUAGCGACGAUGACCGAGUACCACAGUCGCAAAAUCUCCCGUCCGUAGGCGUACAGUUUUUUUUUUGUGAGAUCUAAAAAGGCAGUCGUCAUUUGUUUGUUCCUCAAUCACAUGCGGAUCAUAAAAUCUGUCCUCCGUCAAUUGUCGUUAUCCCUA